rnacentral:rRNA from 1 species
UACGUAGGGCGCAAGCGUUGUCCGGAAUCAUUGGGCGUAAAGAGCGUGUAGGCGGCCCGGUAAGUCCGCUGUGAAAGUCCAGGGCUCAACCCUGGAAUGCCGGUGGAAACUGUCGGGCUAGAGUCCGGAAGAGGCGAGUGGAAUUCCUGGUGUAGCGGUGAAAUGCGCAGAUAUCAGGAGGAACACCAAUGGCGAAGGCAGCUCGCUGGGACGGUACUGACGCUGAGGAGCGAAAGCGUGGGUAGCGAACAGG